rnacentral:rRNA from 1 species
UACGUAGGGUGCAAGCGUUAAUCGGAAUUACUGGGCGUAAAGCGUGCGCAGGCGGUUAUGCAAGACAGAUGUGAAAUCCCCGGGCUCAACCUGGGAACUGCAUUUGUGACUGCAUGGCUAGAGUGCGGCAGGAGGGGGAUGGAAUUCCGCGUGUAGCAGUGAAAUGCGUAGAUAUGCGGAGGAACACCGAUGGCGAGGCAAUCCCUGGGCCUGCACUGACGCUCGAUGCACGAAAGCGUGGGGAGCAAACAGG